rnacentral:rRNA from 1 species
UACGAAGGGAGCUAGCGUUGUUCGGAAUCACUGGGCGUAAAGCGCACGUAGGCGGAUGUGUCAGUCAGGGGUGAAAUCCCGGAGCUCAACUUCGGAACUGCCUUUGAUACAGCACGUCUUGAGUCCGAUAGAGGUGGGUGGAAUUCCUAGUGUAGAGGUGAAAUUCGUAGGUAUUAGGAAGAACACCGGUGGCGAAGGCGGCCCACUGGAUCGGUACUGACGCUGAGGUGCGAAAGCGUGGGGAGCAAACAGG